CCUACGGGUGGCAGCAGUGGGGGAUAUUGCACAAUGGGGGAAACCCUGAUGCAGCGACGCCGCGUGGGCGAAGAAGUAUUUCGGUAUGUAAAGCCCUAUCAGCAGGGAAGAAGAAAUGACGGUACCUGAGUAAGAAGCACCGGCUAACUACGUGCCAGCAGCCGCGGUAAUACGUAUGGUGCAAGCGUUAUCCGGAUUUAUUGGGUUUAAAGGGUGCGUAGGCGGAUUUUUAAGUCAGCGGUAAAAUGUCUGGGUCCAACCCGUGCCGGCCGUUGAAACUGGGGAUCUUGAGUGGGCGAGAGGUAUGCGGAAUGCGUGGUGUAGCGGUGAAAUGCAUAGAUAUCACGCAGAACUCCGAUUGCGAAGGCAGAUUACCGGCGCCCGACUGACGCUGAGGCACGAAAGCGUGGGGAGCGAACAGGAUUAGAUACCCUAGUAGUC
rnacentral:rRNA from 1 species